rnacentral:tRNA from 2 species
GGCACCGUAGCUCAGGGGUUAGAGCGGGCGUUUCAUAAGCGCUAGGUCGGAGGUUCGAGACCUCCCGGUGCCACUA